GAUGAACGCUGGCGGCGUGCUUAACACAUGCAAGUCGAACGAUGAAAGCGGGAGCUUGCUCCUGCUGGAUUAGUGGCGAACGGGUGAGUAACACGUGAGCAAUCUGCCCCGAACUCUGGGAUAAGCGUUGGAAACGACGUCUAAUACCGGAUACGACGCGCGAAGGCAUCUUCUGCGCGUGGAAAGAACUUCGGUUCGGGAGGAGCUCGCGGCCUAUCAGCUAGUUGGUGAGGUAACGGCCCACCAAGGCGACGACGGGUAGCCGGCCUGGGAGGGUGACCGGCCACACUGGGACUGAGACACGGCCCAGACUCCUACGGGAGGCAGCAGUGGGGAAUAUUGCACAAUGGGCGCAAGCCUGAUGCAGCAACGCCGCGUGAGGGACGACGGCCUUCGGGUUGUAAACCUCUUUUAGUAGGGAAGAAGCGAAGUGACGGUACCUGCAGAAAAAGCACCGGCUAACUACGUGCCAGCAGCCGCCGUAACAC
rnacentral:rRNA from 1 species